rnacentral:lncRNA from 1 species
AUGUUCCGGAAACAGAGAGCCCCAGGUGAGGCAGCCAUCUUCUCUUCAAGUACCUCCAAAGCUUGACCUGUGAGCUUCACCAUCCAAACAAUUCUCAGAAACUUCGACAAGCUAAGGAGAAUUCAUUCAUUAUUAGUCUCCCACUUGAGGAAGUUCAAGGUAGACUAAGUUACCUGUGCUUAACCACUGUCUGAACCAUGCAGAAGAGAAUCCAUCCCUCCUGGUUUACUCUUAGUAACACCCAGAUAUACCUGGGAUGGGUUGACCAUCACCAGGCUUCUGAAAACACUACCAUUCUCUUAUUCCUUCCUUAUAAUCUAAACAUCGGGGGCCAGGGUGUAGCUCGAUUGUAGAGUUCUUUACCUAACAUUCAGGAGGCCCUGGGUUCCAGUCCCCCAACCCCGCAGAAAGGAAAUAAUCUAGUUAUCAGCUGUGUCCCAGGAAUCCAGAAAAUACAGGCAAGCGAGAGAUGUUGAGGAUUUGCGGGUUCCUAUUUGUACAGAGGUGUGGUCAUAAAUGUUCCUUUUGUCUUAGUCUCGUUGCUGCACAGAGGGGACAUGUAUGUAUGCCAGAGUCCAGGCCGACCGCUGACAAGGUCGGUCAUCAAAGUGGCAGAAAGAGAAAUCGGUCACCGUUGCACCUCACUGCCUUUAAGCCCACAAGGAAAGCCCACAGAAUAGCAAUAGCUGUGUGACGCUGCAGAACCUACGUCCUAGCUGUCCCUUCCUGACUCCUGACCUCCAACCUCAGGAAAGAAAAUGGCCCCCAAUACAGAUCCCAAAGGAAGCAAAAGCAGACCAAGGAGUGUAUUCUCCUUCCCUAACACCUCCCUGCCAGUGGACCCUGCCUGCACCCCGUCCCGGGUGCACCACAUUCUGCCACGUCUCCCGGGUCCAUGCCCUCUCUCUCGGCCCAGGUGCUGGCUCCUUGAGCCCAGCACCAAAGUGUUUAGAGUGUCUAGAUCAUUCCUUUGUCUAUAGAUGGACAUUGCACCCCAGUACUCAAAGGAAAGCGAUUACAAAUAGCUUAUCGUAACAGCGCACCUUUUCCUCGAGGUGACGGUACCGUAGUAGGGUACCCUCCUUUGCAUGGUAUGGAAGCAUGAAUCUUGCUUGUGGGAAAACCGUCCUCUCUCCCCAAACCCUUUGAACCCCUCAGUGGUUUCCUCUGCAUACGGCUGUAUUCAAUGAGCAAAAAAAGCAAAAUUCCACUUUUCAGAAGACACGGAGUUCGAGUAUGUAUCUGCUUACCGUUUGCAAGCUGACGCGGGCUGGGGUGGGCUCGUCGGUUUUCGUGUAGUGCGAGCUGAUUUUGCGCAGGUGGCUAACCCAUCUGGCACCGAGUUUUUCCAGUAAUACCACUCCACUCCUCCGUUCUAUACAGGCUUCUGUUGUCAAGGUCAACAGUCUGGUUCUCUUAGAAAAGCUACCUUCGCAUUCCCUCUCUGUGAGUCUUCUUUUCCUUUGUAGUCAGCUCAGGACCUUUGACACCAAUUGUAGCGCUAACUUCUGGUAAUGUGAUUCUUAACCAACGCGUAUGUGUUCAGUUUUCCUGUCUACAUGUGGUUCUGUGUGUGUUUCAAAUAGGGAAGGGGUGGGAUUCUGGAUAUAUUUCACUAGCUGCUUUGAAUAUUUAAUCCAGUCAUCAAAAAGCAUAAAUGACUUCGACGUUUUCUGGAUCUUGAUUGCCAAGUGUCGUUUCGCUUUGUCCUCACGUUAAUCUGCCAUUGUGGGAUCCAAGCCUUCGAGGGGUGUGUGUAUAUAGAACACGAGUAAUUCUUGUGAGGAUGGAAACAAAAUGGGUGCAUGAUGGAAAUUUAGGGGGGUAAAAAAAUAGCAGAAACUUGAAUGGCUAAGCAUGUUCGAGGGGGGAAUAGAAUCCUUAACUCAGUGCCUAUGUCUGCCAUGUGAAACCCUUCAGCUUCGUUCACCAAAAUUGUAUCAUACCUGUACAUAUAUAUACAUGUAUAAAACGCAGUAUAGCAAGCCACCCACCAGCAGUUCUAAGUCUCUGGUGGCCCAACUGAAAUAGCAUAGGAUAAAAUGUGUGUUUACCCCUCUUCAUCUCUGACAGCGGUAGAUGCCGCUAAAAUGGCCAUUCGUGUCUUGACUCCUGGUGGCUUCCUAAGAGGAAACAUCCCCGCAUUCAGGGUGUGGCACAGCAGCAUCUCUUUGUUGCGCUUUUCCUGGGUCAAGGCUUUGUGGUGUUUUUAUUGCAUAAAGCUUGUCUCACCCCACCCCACCCCCACCCGGAGCGUUUCCUUUUGCGCUGUAUAGUAAGAGAAUGCAAAGGAAAAAGAAACUGUAACAUUUUUUAUUGUUGUUGUCAGUUUGUGGGUGGACUUGCUUAUAAACCCUGCUCUCUGGCUUUGCAUCUAUGUGGGGCUAUUUUAACUUAUCUACAGGCAUAUGUCAGCCGGGUUUUUGGGUGUGAAGAUAAGUUAGCUCGAUUGUAGAUCUAAUGAACACACACACACAAAUAAAUAAAAAUGUAAAAAUAGGAUACACAACCCCUAAUGAUAUCCCCCAAAAGUAAUCGUGUGGUUUUCAUUCAUGACCCACAAUGAGCUUUAAACUAAGAAACAUCUUGAUUAAAACCCUCUAAAUUGAAAUUUUCAGAGCUAAAUGUGUUUAUGAAGAUUUUCAAAUUUCACUUCCUUUGGCAUCUCUUCAGUGCUCUGAGACAACAGGGUAACAGGGCACCAGCUGGCUUACAUUGGUGGGAACUUUGUUUUGGAAAAGGGCCAGCACAGAAUUGACUCUCCUUUCAACCUAUAAGCAGAUAAUCCAAUGCAGAGUGACGUUUCCAUACUUUUCUGGUCAUCUGACUGGUAGGCUAGAUGACAUCUUCCAUCCAAGCCAUAGUUGUAAAAAAAUAAAAAUAAAUCUUGGCCUGGUCUGUAAGUUGACAUGAAUAAACUAUGUUAAACUCUUUAUUCUUGGUAAGACCAAAGCGUUACACCGUCACACUGCGUUGACACCACGCACAGACCCAAGACACCUUGGGUUCCCCUGUAUUCCGAAUUCCACCUUCAAAGCACUCUGUCCGAGUCUGAUAUCUUACUGCUCAAGAUCCAUAGGACUUCAUGCUAUAAGACAAUGUGAACGUGUGGAGAACUUCACAGACGACGCCCCUUUACUGUAACUCCAUUUUAAUAAAUGCUUAGGAUAAGCCUUCCCACUUUCUUGCUUUCCGAGUUCAAACUGUAUCUGUGGAAUUUCAAGUCUCCCUCCCCGUUUCCCAGUGUCCCUGAGGAGAUAAGAGGUUCUUUUGAGUUGAUGUUAUAUGUCCUUGCCAGUGUCAUUUCAGCAUUUCCGUUUUCGAGCUGAGAUCUUGAUCGGGUUAACUUAGUCAAAAUACCACUGCCACCACUGAAGGACCAAGUGUUGGAACGCAGAGUGCAAGCAACUCGAACGGAAGUGACCCUCACACACACAACCCUCUGUGUCCUUUUACGGCUGUUCUGUCGUCGAUGCCCGCCCCCCCCCUUGUUAUUUAUUAUUGUUAAUAACUUACUUUUUCUUACAUUCUAUUGUAAAUAAAGUACAAAGCAAUCUUCUUCCAA